rnacentral:rRNA from 1 species
UCGGCCGAUCCUCCCACCCUUUGUGUACCUACCUCUGUUGCUUUGGCGGGCCGCGGUCCUCCGCGGCCGGCCCCCCUCCCCGGGGGGUGGCCAGCGCCCGCCAGAGGACCAUCAAACUCCAGUCAGUAAACGAUGCAGUCUGAAAAACAUUUAAUAAACUAAAACUUUCAACAACGGAUCUCUUGGUUCUGGCAUCGAUGAAGAACGCAGCGAAAUGCGAUAAGUAAUGUGAAUUGCAGAAUUCAGUGAAUCAUCGAAUCUUUGAACGCACAUUGCGCCCUUUGGUAUUCCGAAGGGCAUGCCUGUUCGAGCGUCAUUACAACCCUCAAGCUCUGCUUGGUAUUGGGCACCGUCCUUUGCGGGCGCGCCUCAAAGACCUCGGCGGUGGCGUCUUGCCUCAAGCGUAGUAGAACAUACAUCUCGCUUCGGAGCGCAGGGCGUCGCCCGCCGGACGAACCUUCUGAACUUUUCUCAAGGUUGACCUCGGAUCAGGUAGGGAUACCCGCUGAACUUAAGCAUAUCAAUAAGGCGGGAGGAAACGAGUUGAUUCGGGCUCCGCCCGAUCCUCCCACCUUGUGUACCUACCUCUGUUGCUUUGGCGGGGCCGCGGUCUCCACGGCCGGCCCCUCCCCGGGGGGUGGCGCGCCGCAGAAGACAUCAAUUCAGUCAUAAAGAAGGAUUUGAAAAACUUUAGAACAAAAAUUCA